UACGGAGGAUGCAAGCGUUAUCCGGAAUGAUUGGGCGUAAAGGGUCCGCAGGUGGCCAUGUAAGUCUGCUGUCAAAGAAUGAGGCUCAACCUCAUCAAGGCAGUGGAAACUACGUAGCUAGAGUACGGUCGGGGUAGAAGGAAUUCCUGGUGUAGCGGUGAAAUGCGUAGAGAUCAGGAAGAACACCGGUGGCGAAAGCGUUCUGCUAGGCCUGUACUGACACUGAGGGACGAAAGCUAGGGGAGCGAAUGGG
rnacentral:rRNA from 1 species